rnacentral:rRNA from 1 species
GACGAACGCUGGCGGCGCGCCUAACACAUGCAAGUCGAACGAGCGGGAGAGAGCUUGCUUUCUCGAGCGAGUGGCGAACGGGUGAGUAACGCGUGAGGAACCUGCCUCAAAGAGGGGGACAACAGUUGGAAACGACUGCUAAUACCGCAUAAGCCCACGGUGCCGCAUGGCACAGAGGGAAAAGGAGCAAUCCGCUUUGAGAUGGCCUCGCGUCCGAUUAGCUAGUUGGUGAGGUAAUGGCCCACCAAGGCGACGAUCGGUAGCCGGACUGAGAGGUUGAACGGCCACAUUGGGACUGAGACACGGCCCAGACUCCUACGGGAGGCAGCAGUGGGGAAUAUUGCACAAUGGGGGAAACCCUGAUGCAGCGACGCCGCGUGGAGGAAGAAGGUCUUCGGAUUGUAAACUCCUGUUGUUGGGGAAGAUAAUGACGGUACCCAACAAGGAAGUGACGGCUAACUACGUA